UGUGUGUGUGUGUGUGUGUGUGUGUGUGUGUGUGUGUACAGACACAUACAUGCAUACGUGCACACACACU